UGGGGAAUUUUGCACAAUGGGGGAAACCCUGAUGCAGCGACGCCGCGUGAUUUAGAAGGCCUUCUGGUUGUAAAAAUCUUUUCUAUGGGAAGAAAAUGACAGUACCAUAGGAAUAAGGACCGGCUAAUUACGUGCCAGCAGCCGCGGGAAUACGUAAGGUCCGAGCGUUGUCCGGAAUCAUUGGGCGUAAAGGGUAUGUAGGCGGGUAAGCAAGUUAGAAGUGAAAUCCUAUAGCUCAACUAUAGUAAGCUUUUAAAACUGCUCAUCUUGAGGUAUGGAAGGGAAAGUGGAAUUCCUAGUGUAGCGGUGAAAUGCGCAGAUAUUAGGAGGUAUACCGGUGGCGAAGGCGACUUUCUGGCCAUAACCUGACGCUGAGGUACGAAAGCGUGGGUAGCAAACAGG
rnacentral:rRNA from 1 species